rnacentral:lncRNA from 1 species
UAGUCCUAAACUUCAAGUUACAAGCACAGAAAUUAAGGACAGGUAGUCAUGAACUUAGAGUUCCAAGUUAAAAAAAUAAGGACAUGUAGUCCUAAAUUUAGAGUUACAAGUUAUAAAGUUAAGGACAUGUAGUCCUGAACUUAGAGUUACAAGUUAAAAAGUUAAGGACAGGUAGUCCUGAAAUUAGAGUUACAAGCUAAAAAGUUAAGGACAUGUAGUCCUGAACUUAGAGCUACAAGUUAAAAAGUUAAGGACAUGUAGUCUUGAACUUAGAGUUACAAGUUAAGAAGUUAAGGACAGGUAGUCCUAAACUUCAAGUUACAAGCUCACAAAUUAAGGACACUUGGUCCUUAACUUAGAGUUACAAGCACAGAAAUUAAGGACAUGUAGUCCUUAACUUAGAGUUACAAGUUAAAAAGUUAAGGACAUGUAGUCCUGAACUUAGAGUUACAAGUUAAGAAGUUAAGGACAGGUAGUCCUAAACUUCAAGUUACAAGCUCACAAAUUA